GCUUAACGCGAAGAACCUUACCAAGGCUUGACAUACACCGGAAACAUCCAGAGAUGGGUGCCCCCUUGUGGUCGGUGUACAGGUGGUGCAUGGCUGUCGUCAGCUCGUGUCGUGAGAUGUUGGGUUAAGUCCCGCAACGAGCGCAACCCUUGUCCCGUGUUGCCAGCAGGCCCUUGUGGUGCUGGGGACUCACGGGAGACCGCCGGGGUCAACUCGGAGGAAGGUGGGGACGACGUCAAGUCAUCAUGCCCCUUAUGUCUUGGGCUGCACACGUGCUACAAUGGCCGGUACAAAGAGCUGCGAUACCGUGAGGUGGAGCGAAUCUCAAAAAGCCGGUCUCAGUUCGGAUUGGGGUCUGCAACUCGACCCCAUGAAGUCGGAGUCGCUAGUAAUCGCAGAUCAGCAUUGCUGCGGUGAAUACGUUCCCGGGUCUUGUACACACCGGGUCUUGUACACACCGGGG
rnacentral:rRNA from 1 species